UGCCUCUCUAUCGCUUGUUCCAUGCUC
rnacentral:sRNA from 1 species